rnacentral:rRNA from 1 species
UACGUAGGGCGCAAGCGUUGUCCGGAAUUAUUGGGCGUAAAGAGCUCGUAGGCGGUCUGUCGCGUCGGAUGUGAAAGCCCGGGGCUCAACCUCGGGUCUGCAGUCGAUACGGGCAAACUGGAGUGUUGCAGGGGAGACUGGAAUUCCUGGUGUAGCGGUGAAAUGCGCAGAUAUCAGGAGGAACACCGGUGGCGAAGGCGGCCCACUGGAUCGGCAUUGACGCUGAGGUGCGAAAGCGUGGGGAGCAAACAGG